AGUGAACGCUGGCGGUAGGCCUAACACAUGCAAGUCGAACGGCAGCACAGGAGAGCUUGCUCUCUGGGUGGCGAGUGGCGGACGGGUGAGGAAUACAUCGGAAUCUACUCUGUCAUGGGGGAUAACGUAGGGAAACUUACGCUAAUACCGCAUACGACCUACGGGUGAAAGCAGGGGACCUUCGGGCCUUGCGCGAUUGAAUGAGCCGAUGUCGGAUUAGCUAGUUGGCGGGGUAAAGGCCCACCAAGGCGACGAUCCGUAGCUGGUCUGAGAGGAUGAUCAGCCACACUGGAACUGAGACUCGGUCCAGACUCCUACGGGAGGCAGCAGUGGGGAAUAUUGGACAAUGGGCGCAAGCCUGAUCCAGCCAUACCGCGUGGGUGAGGAAGGCCUUCGGGUUGUAAAGCCCUUUUGUUGGGAAAGAAAUCCAGCUGGCUAAUACCCGGUUGGGAUGACGGUACCCAAAGAAUAAGCACCGGCUAACUUCGUGCCAGCCGCCGCCGUAA
rnacentral:rRNA from 1 species